rnacentral:rRNA from 1 species
AGUGAACGCUGGCGGUAGGCCUAACACAUGCAAGUCGAACGGCAGCACAGUAAGAGCUUGCUCUUACGGGUGGCGAGUGGCGGACGGGUGCGGAAUACAUCGGAAUCUACUUUUUCGAGGGGGCUAACGUAGGGAAACUUACGCUAAUACCGCAUACGACCUACGGGUGAAAGCAGGGGAUCUUCGGACCUUGCGCGAGUGAAUGAGCCGAUGUCGGAUUAGCUAGUUGGCGGGGUAAAGGCCCACCAAGGCGACGAUCCGUAGCUGGUCUGAGAGGAUGAUCAGCCACACUGGAACUGAGACACGGUCCAGACUCCUACGGGAGGCAGCAGUGGGGAAUAUUGGACAAUGGGCGCAAGCCUGAUCCAGCCAUACCGCGUGGGUGAAGAAGGCCUUCGGGUUGUAAAGCCCUUUUGUUGGGAAAGAAAAGCAGCAGGUUAAUACCCCGCUGUUCUGACGGUACCCAAAGAAUAAGCACCGGCUAACUUCGUG